UACGUAGGUGGCAAGCGUUGUCCGGAAUUAUUGGGCGUAAAGCGCGCGCAGGCGGGCUGAUAAGUCUGUCGUUUAAAUUCGGGGCUUAACCCCGUCAAGCGAUGGAAACUGUCAGUCUUGAGUGCAGGAGAGGAAAGGGGAAUUCCCAGUGUAGCGGUGAAAUGCGUAGAUAUUGGGAGGAACACCAGUGGCGAAGGCGCCUUUCUGGACUGUGUCUGACGCUCAGGCGCGAAAGCCAGGGUAGCGAACG
rnacentral:rRNA from 1 species